ACGCUGGCGGCGUGCCUAACACAUGCAAGUCGAACGAGGUCCAUCCUUCGGGAGAAGACCUAGUGGCGAACGGGUGAGUAACACGUGAAGAACCUGCCCCGAAGACCGGGAUAACCCUCCGAAAGGAGAGCUAAUACCGGAUACCCCCACCGAACCGCAUGGUUUGGUGAGGAAAUGGAUUCCGCUUCGGGAGGGCUUCGCGGCCUAUCAGCUAGUUGGUGGGGUAACGGCCCACCAAGGCAUCGACGGGUAGCUGGUCUGAGAGGACGAUCAGCCACACUGGGACUGAGACACGGCCCAGACUCCUACGGGAGGCAGCAGUGGGGAAUCUUGCGCAAUGGGCGAAAGCCUGACGCAGCAACGCCGCGUGGGGAUGAAGGCUCUCGGGUUGUAAACCCCCUUCAGCAGGGACGAAUCAAGACGGUACCUGCAGAAGAAGCCCCGGCUAACUACGUG
rnacentral:rRNA from 1 species